UUCUGGGCCCUUUAAAGAUGAUGGACCAAGUGGAUGAAAGCAGCUUGAGGCCCUAAAUUCCUGCAGAGAGUAGAGUACCACUCAUAGAACUGUGAUGAAGAUGAGCAAGAGGAAGAGAGCUGGCUGUGCACCGUGUACUUAUUUAAGAGCCAUCUCCAGUUGACAUGAGCCACACUUCAAGUGAUCCAGAGUUACCUGAGUUGGAGACGCUAGACCAGCUGAGAAGUUUUCCAAGCCUGGAGCUAGCAGCUGGGAACCUGAAACUCAAUCAAUGCAG